rnacentral:rRNA from 1 species
GAUGAACGCUGGCGGUAUGCUUAACACAUGCAAGUCGAACGGACUCUUCGGAGUUAGUGGCGGACGGGUGAGUAACGCGUGAGAAUCUGGCUUUGGGUUCGGGACAACCACUGGAAACGGUGGCUAAUACCGGAUGUGCCGAGAGGUAAAAGAGAAAUUGCCUGCAGAUGAGCUCGCGUCUGAUUAGCUAGUUGGUGAGGUAAAGGCUCACCAAGGCAGCGAUCAGUAGCUGGUCUGAGAGGAUGACCAGCCACACUGGGACUGAGACACGGCCCAGACUCCUACGGGAGGCAGCAGUGGGGAAUUUUCCGCAAUGGGCGAGAGCCUGACGGAGCAAUACCGCGUGAGGGAAGAAGGCUCUUGGGUUGUAAACCUCUUUUCUUAGGGAAGAACAAAAUGACGGUACCUAAGGAAUCAGCAUCGGCUAACUCCGUG